AUAAUUUGGUUUUCAAGUGCAGUGUACUUUGUUAUUAUACAAAAAAAAAAUUGAGACUUAAUUGGUUGACUAGGGAAAUAGUUUUCACAUUUCAAACCCUGUAGUCCUGUAGAGAAUAAAACCGGCCCUUGAAAUUGCCUUGGAAUGCCAUAACAAUUGAGCCCAGCUAACUCAAGAUGAUCACAAGUUUCAAAGCUGAAGCAACAGUGAUCUUACCUUUAAAAGGAUGCAGCCCACUUAAGCCUAUCGUUUGUAGAAAAUUUAGCUGAAAUGUGAAUAGCACUUAAUUCCUCAUUUCCGUAAGCUGAAUUGCAUUUGCAGAUGGCCAUCUCGAUGUACCAUUAUCAGUAAUAACACUUAACUAUUGCAGCACGUGACAAACUGAAUCAUUGGCUACUUUUCUCCAUCUCUCUAGCGGCUGUAGAAGAUGCCAGUUAUUGAAACCAAAACGGAAAUGGAAAGUGGAUAAUGAGGUCACCCUCAUGGUCUUUGUCACGAGCUCUCCUUUAAAUUGGUCCACCUAGGCAAUGAAACAUUCCACAUGCGCCAUGUCCUUAUCUCCUCUCAAAAGAAAGCACCCAAAAAUGAGGCCACAUGUGCUUGAUUAAAUUGCUUAGAUUGUUGAUAUUUGACAUGAUGUGUGCUUUUAUUGAAAAAUUGAAUACAAUAUAAUAAUUAUAAAAUCAAAUUUUCAUAUGAGCAAUUCUUGAAUCUCUGUACCUUAAUUACACUUCUAUGCCUUGAAAAAAAUAGCAGUUGUGUUAUUGUUUUCUACAGAGAUUGAAUCAACACAAGAUUCCUUACCUGCAACAACCAGGGACUAACUUGGUCAAUAGUUUCCUUACUUGCAAGUAACACACCAAUUUCUUGAAAUCACAACAUAUAUUUAAUCAGUUGAGUAGAGGUUAUACUUGUAUUAUUGUCCUUGUGUAUGCCAAUUAGUUUUGUUGCUGAAAUAACUCUCUUCUCUGUUUACUAUAUCUUUUACAGUCUUUGUUUCCUUAUCUUUCUUUCUUUCUUUAUGCAUUGUGCAGUUAUUUAUAUACAUGUCUGUCUAUACGUGUGUAUGUACCUUUAUAUAAUGAUGUAUCACUGUUGUACUUUCUAUAGCUUUUAAAGAUUGUGCCUAAUUGCUUGUAACACAUAAGUAACAUUUUUAUAUUUGUCUACUGUUGCCCUUCUGACUAGCCAUUUCCUUUUUGAAAAAUGCCAUCAUGCUAGAAUAUUUACUGAAGCAAUGGCAAAUCCAUAUUGACCUCAUUUUUCUUUUUGAAUGAUUAUGAUUGUUUUCUCAUAUUGCUCCCUGAACUUGAUUUCCCCUCUUCUGCUUACAGACCCAUGAUAAAACUUCCAGCUACAUUGGUCUGGUAUACUGUUUUGCUUGUUAAAUGGGUGCAUGCAAAACAUGGCCUCCACAAAGCUUAACAGUUCUGCACCAUUGCAUGGUGUUGUUCGAUUAGCAUUGCGCACAAGUACGUUUAACUGCUCUGCAGCUCAAAAACAUAUUGGAUACUCACCAGUUGUCUCCUUGGAAGCACAUCAGAGCUGCUUUGCUUUCUCUCCUGUGCCCCCCCCAUCAUCAGGUCCCAACUCUUGCCCAAAUUUGAUGACUUCAUGAGGUGCCACCUCAGCAAUUGGGACAACACACUCGUUGACAAUCAACAAAAAACCAAAGAGGUGUUUGAUUUAGUCAUUUUCUUUUUCUUUUUUCACAAUGUUGAACUGUUUUUAAGGUACAUGUGUUGCACAUUGUUUCUUGUUCAGAAGAGCUUGCCAAGAAACCAAACAUGACAUGCUUGAUAUAAUCUAACAGAUGAAGAGAAGAUUGAUCAAAUGAUAGCAAUUAUGUAACCAAGUAUUCUUAAAUUAUUAAUGGUGUAUUUUCACACCCUACUGUUAUGUAAUAUUUGUGGAUAUGUUAUUUUAUGGGUAAUGGUGAUUGGUGAAUUGGAAAGUGAAUUUAUGUGAAUG